rnacentral:rRNA from 1 species
UACGUAGGUCCCGAGCGUUGUCCGGAUUUAUUGGGCGUAAAGCGAGCGCAGGUGGUUUAUUAAGUCUGAUGUAAAAGGCAGUGGCUCAACCAUUGUAUGCAUUGGAAACUGGUAGACUUGAGUGGAGGAGAGGAGAGUGGAAUUCCAUGUGUAGCGGUGAAAUGCGUAGAUAUAUGGAGGAACACCGGUGGCGAAAGCGGCUCUCUGGCCUGUAACUGACACUGAGGCUCGAAAGCGCGGGGAGCAAACAGG